GACGAACGCUGGCGGCGUGCUUAACACAUGCAAGUCGAACGAUGAUGCCCAGCUUGCUGGGUGGAUUAGUGGCGAACGGGUGAGUAACACGUGAGUAACCUGCCCCUGACUCUGGGAUAAGCGUUGGAAACGACGUCUAAUACUGGAUAUGAUCACUGGCCGCAUGGUCUGGUGGUGGAAAGAUUUUUUGGUUGGGGAUGGACUCGCGGCCUAUCAGCUUGUUGGGGGGGUAAUGGCUCCCCAAGGCGACGACGGGUAGCCGGCGUGAGAGGGUGACCGGCCACACUGGGACUGAGACACGGCCCAGACUCCUACGGGAGGCAGCAGUGUGGAAUAUUGCACAAUGGGCGAAAGCCUGAUGCAGCAACGCCGCGUGAGGGAUGACGGCCUUCGGGUUGUAAACCUCUUUUAGUAGGGAAGAAGCGAAAGUGACGGUACCUGCAGAAAAAGCACCGGCUAACUACGUGCCAGCAGCCGCCGUAA
rnacentral:rRNA from 1 species